rnacentral:misc_RNA from 1 species
AACUUUUAACAAUGGAUCUCUUGGUUCUCGCAUCGAUGAAGAACGCAGCGAAUUGCGAUAAGUAAUGUGAAUUGCAGAAUUUUGUGAAUCAUCGAAUCUUUGAACGCACAUUGCGCCCUUUGGUAUUCCAGAGGGCAUACCUGUUUGAGCGUCAUUUCAUUCUUAAAUCGAAAGAUUUAGUGUUGAGUAUUUUGUCUUUUAAAGACAAUGACUUGAAAUGAAUUUGGCAGAAGCGAAUCCAGUUUUAGCUUUUUAAAAAACAACGUAUUAGGUUUUACCAUCUCGUUGGCAUUAAUUUUUUGAAGCACUUGGAGAGUAGCUUUGGCGUUAAUAACAAAACUAUAAAGUUUGACCUCAAAUCAGGCAAGAUUACCCGCUGAACUUAAGCAUAUCAAUAAGCGGAGGCU